rnacentral:rRNA from 1 species
ACUUGGGUAGGGGAGCGUUGUAUGCGGGUAGAAGUCAGACCGUAAGGACUGGUGGACUGCAUAGAAGUGAGAAUGCCGGUAUGAGUAACGAAAAGACAGGUGAGAAUCCUGUCCGCCGAAAGCCUAAGGGUUCCUGGGGUAGGUUCGUCCGCCCAGGGUAAGUCGGGACCUAACGCGAGGCCGAAAGGCGUAGUGGAUGGACAACAGGUUGAAAUUCCUGUACCACCGUAAUCCGUUAUGAGCGAUGGGGGGACGCAGGAGGGGAACGACGCGAGCUGAUGGAAUAGCUCGUCCAAGCAGUGAGAGGUGUGUGUAGGCAAAUCCGCACACUGAUACCUCAAGCUGUGAUGGGGAGGGAAAAUCAUAGUACCGAAGGUCAUGUACCCACGCUGCCAAGAAAAGCCUCUAGCCAGGAGAAGGUGCCCGUACCGCAAACCGACACAGGUGGGCGAGAUGAGAAUUCUAAGGCGCGCGGAAGAACUCUCGUUAAGGAACUCGGCAAAAUGACCCCGUAACUUCGGGAGAAGGGGUGCCCCGGUAGUGUGAAUAGCACGAGGGGGCCGCAGUGAAGAGGCCCAAGCGACUGUUUAGCAAAAACACAGGUCUGUGCGAAGCCGCAAGGCGAAGUAUACGGGCUGACGCCUGCCCGGUGCUGGAAGGUUAAGAGGAGUGGUUAGCCGCAAGGCGAAGCUAUGAAUUGAAGCCCCAGUAAACGGCGGCCGUAACUAUAACGGUCCUAAGGUAGCGAAAUUCCUUGUCAGGUAAAUUCUGACCCGCACGAAUGGCGUAACGACUUGGGCGCUGUCUCAACGAGAGAUCCGGUGAAAUUUUAGUACCUGUGAAGAUGCAGGUUACCCGCGACGUGACGGAAAGACCCCAUGGAGCUUUACUGUAGCUUGAUAUUGAACUUUGGUACGGUCUGUACAGGAUAGGUGGGAGCCUGAGAACUAGGAGCGCAAGCUUCUAGGGAGGCGCCGUUGGGAUACCACCCUGAUCGUAUCGGAGUUCUAACUCACUACCCUUAUCGGGUAGGAGGACCGUGUCAGGCGGACAGUUUGACUGGGGCGGUCGCCUCCUAAAGCGUAACGGAGGCGCUCUAAGGUUCCCUCAGCGCGGUUGGAAAUCGCGCGCAGAGUGCAAAGGCAUAAGGGAGCUUGACUGCGAGACCUACAAGUCGAGCAGGGACGAAAGUCGGACUUAGUGAUCCGGUGGUACCGAAUGGAAGGGCCAUCGCUCAACGGAUAAAAGCUACCCUGGGGAUAACAGGCUUAUCUCCCCCAAGAGUCCACAUCGACGGGGAGGUUUGGCACCUCGAUGUCGGCUCAUCGCAUCCUGGGGCUGAAGUAGGUCCCAAGGGUUGGGCUGUUCGCCCAUUAAAGCGGUACGCGAGCUGGGUUCAGAACGUCGUGAGACAGUUCGGUCCCUAUCUGUCGCGGGCGUAGGAAAUUUGAGAGGGGCUGUCCUUAGUACGAGAGGACCGGGAUGGACGCACCGCUGGUGUACCAGUUGUUCCGCCAGGAGCAUCGCUGGGUAGCCAAGUGCGGAAGGGAUAAGCGCUGAAAGCAUCUAAGCGCGAAGCCUGCCUCAAGAUGAGAUUUCCCAAUUCGUAAGACCCCUGGAAGAACACCAGGUUGAUAGGCUCGGGGUGGAAGCGCGGCAACGUGUGCAGCUGACGAGUACUAAUCGGUCGAGGGCUUAUCCUAA